UUUAAGGCUGCAAAUCUUAUGUUUCUAUUUGUAGCAUGCCGCAUUGUCGCAUAUGUUGUUUUUGCAUAAAUUA